AACAUCGCGCACCUGCGGGAACCUGCGGAAGGAUCAUUACCGAGUUUACAACUCCCAAACCCCUGUGAACAUACCAAUUGUUGCCUCGGCGGAUCAGCCCGCUCCCGGUAAAACGGGACGGCCCGCCAGAGGACCCCUAAACUCUGUUUCUAUAUGUAACUUCUGAGUAAAACCAUAAAUAAAUCAAAACUUUUAACAAUGGAUCU
rnacentral:misc_RNA from 1 species